rnacentral:SRP_RNA from 1 species
GUUCUACAGGGAAAGGUGGUGCAUGCCUAUAUUCUCAACUUCUUGGGAGACUGAGCCAGGGGCAUUGCUUGAGCCAAGGAUUUCUAAGAUGUAGUGUGUCAUGCCGGUCAGAUGUCCACACUAAGUUUUUCAUCAGUGUGGUGACCUCCCGUGAGCAGGAGACUACCAGGUGGCUCAAAGAAGGGAACUAUCCCAGGUCAGAAAUGAAGCGGUCAAAACUCUCAUGCUGAUCCAUAGUGGGAUCGCACCUGUGAAUAGUCACAAUAGUCACUGCAUUCCAGCCUGGAUAACAUAACGAUACCCUGUGUCU